rnacentral:rRNA from 1 species
UACAGAGGGUGCGAGCGUUAAUCGGAAUUACUGGGCGUAAAGCGUGCGUAGACGGUUAUCUAAGUCGGGUGUGAAAGCCCCGGGCUCAACCUGGGAAUUGCAUUCGAGACUGAAUAGCUAGGGUACGGUAGAGGGAAGUGGAAUUUCCGGUGUAGCGGUGAAAUGCGUAGAUAUCGGAAGGAACAUCAGUGGCGAAAGCGACUUCCUGGACCAGUACCGACGUUCAGGCACGAAAGCCGUGGGGAGCAAACAGG